GACGUAGGGGGCCAGCGUUGUUCGGAAUUACUGGGUGUAAAGGGUUCGUAGGCGGUGUAGCAAGUCGGGAGUGAAAUCUCUGGGCUUAACCCAGAGGCUGCUUCCGAAACUGCUGUGCUUGAGUGUGGGAGAGGCGCGUGGAAUUGCAGGUGUAGCGGUGAAAUGCGUAGAUAUCGUUUGGAACGCCAAUGGUGAAAACAGCAGGCUGGGGAUGUGCUGACGCUGAGACGCGAAAGCCAGGGGAGCAAACGGG
rnacentral:rRNA from 1 species